rnacentral:lncRNA from 1 species
UUGCACACAACAAAUGUAAUUAGUCCCCAAAUUAUAGGUAGAGAUUUGCAUUGCAUAGCACAAAAUCAGGCACAUAAUUGUACGGUGUGUAUAUAGAGAUAUAUAGUUUUUGUAAUUAUCAAUACUAUUAAAAGAGUAGGAGUACUAAAAAAUCUACUUAUUCAAAGUUGUUGGACCCUUUCAUUAACUAAUAAUAUUUUGGUCUUACCUAAAAUUUCUACUAAUAAUAUGUUACCUUAUAUAUAUUUUUUUUUUUUUUUGACAACUACAUUCAAAUACUAACUAUAAUCUCCAGUCGAUCUAGCAAGCCAAACCGGUGGAGUUACCUUAUAUUUCUCUAAAAAUAAUUUAGUCAAUGCUUAACAAAUUAAAUGGUUUAACUAUAUUUGUUUCAUCUGAUCAAUACAAUUAAAACAAGAUAUGUUUUAGAUUUGCCCUUAUUCUACUUAGGAUUUUUUUUUGUGUCGUUAUGAUUUUGUCUAACAAUUAAAAAUUUAUUAAAUAUAAAAUGGGUAAUGCUAAUUAGACCACCUACAGUAUCUAUAUAUGGGACCGUCAUUUGUUGAUUUAUUCCUAAAUAAUUGCAUCAUUAUAUAUUUU